rnacentral:rRNA from 1 species
CUACGGGGGGCUGCAGUGGGGAAUAUUGGACAAUGGGCGAAAGCCUGAUCCAGCCAUGCCGCGUGUGUGAAGAAGGCCUUCGGGUUGUAAAGCACUUUCAGUGGGGAAGAAAGCCUUGGGGCUAAUACCCUCGAGGAAGGACAUCACCCACAGAAGAAGCACCGGCUAACUCCGUGCCAGCAGCCGCGGUAAUACGGAGGGUGCGAGCGUUAAUCGGAAUUACUGGGCGUAAAGCGCGCGUAGGCGGUCUGAUAAGCCGGUUGUGAAAGCCCCGGGCUCAACCUGGGAACGGCAUCCGGAACUGUCAGGCUAGAGUGCAGGAGAGGAAGGUAGAAUUCCCGGUGUAGCAGUGAAAUGCGUAGAGAUCGGGAGGAAUACCAGUGGCGAAGGCGGCCUUCUGGACUGACACUGACGCUGAGGUGCGAAAGCGUGGGUAGCAAACAGGAUUAGAUACCCCAGUAGUC